rnacentral:rRNA from 1 species
GACGAACGCUGGCGGCGCGCUUAACACAUGCAAGUCGAGCGAAGCGGCGGACGGGUGAGUAAUACGUGGGUAACCUGCCCUCCUUUUUGGGAUAAGCCUUGGAAACGGGGUCUAAUACCGAAUAGUGGGGGAUGGACUCGCGUCCUAUCAGCUUGUUGGUGGGGUAGUGGCCUACCAAGGCGACGACGGGUAGCCGGCCUGAGAGGGCGACCGGCCACAUUGGGACUGAGAUACGGCCCAAACUCCUACGGGAGGCAGCAGUUGGGAAUAUUGCACAAUGGGGGAAACCCUGAUGCAGCAACGCCGCGUGCGGGAUGACGGCCUUCGGGUUGUAAACCGCUUUCAGCCAUGACGCGGUAGUGGCAGAAGAAGCACCGGCUAACUACGUGCCAGCAGCCGCGGUAAUAC